rnacentral:rRNA from 1 species
UACAGAGACUGCAAGCGUUAUUCGGAUUCACUGGGCGUAAAGGGUGCGCAGGCGGCCAUGUGUGUGAGGCGUGAAAGCCCGGGGCUUAACCCCGGAAUUGCACCUCAAACUACAUGGCUAGAGCAUUGGAGAGGGUAGCGGAAUUCACGGUGUAGCAGUGAAAUGCGUAGAUAUCGUGAGGAACACCAGAGGCGAAGGCGGCUACCUGGACAAUUGCUGACGCUCAGGCACGAAAGCGUGGGGAGCAAAAGGG